GUGGGGCGAUGGGAGAC
rnacentral:misc_RNA from 1 species